ACCAGAGCCCUGACACGAGUGAAGCAAUCUGCUCCCAGCUGCUGGCAUACCAUGAAGCAAGGUAACACUUAUCAGGCUUUACGGAGAACAUGACAAAGCAAACACACAAGGCGGCAGUCCUUUUAGAGGAAGAGAUGUGGUACAGUUCCGCUGCAGCACAACAGCAAGGAUCUGUUCCCUUUCGAUUCCACCACGGGGUGCCAGGCCUUCCUGGCAUGCAAAGGGCAAAGGAGAUACAGGCAGCAGGGACCGUCCUGCUUCUGCAU